GUUAUGGAGCUCAUUAAUGCACAAUUAUAUACUCAUAUCAGCGAGGUAAAUCCCUAAACCAGCCCUAAACCUCUGUCCAUGAAGUUCUUCCUCACGCGGGUGCUGCGAUUCUCCCAAAACGCGUCCUUUCCUACGCAAGGCAGCUUUCCCAAAAAAACCCAACCAUCAUCAACACGACUUCCUACGUUAACUCACGUAUAAACAGCGACCCUAUUUAUACUUCCCGGCAAUCUUUCCUGUUAGUAGCAGGAUUACUAAUUGCUGGCUUACAGCUCCUUCCUCCCCACAGCAGUCAGACCAGUGGAGCCUGGCCACCCUCCAGGUUUUUCGCCGCGGAGGAGACAGGCAUUUCCAGCCCUACGCCUGCAAAGCCAGCUCCACCCUCGCCGGAGCCAGGCCAGCAGCAAACCCGGCUGGUUUUAUUUUUCCCAGCAGAGGCGCAGGCUUUUCCAUUGACUGAAUUGUCUAAACACUUUGACCACGAUUGCCAGAUUAUAAAUACCUUCCUUCAGAGAUGAUAAUCUGGAUAAAACAGUUGACUAGAUGCCUACAGAGAAGGAAUACACGGCACGAUGGUAAAGCGGAGGAGCAGAAUACGGUGUUACUGAUACUACAGCAAAGACUUAUCUGUGGUUGCUUUCACAGCCUUCUAAAGCAAUUUAUUCCUUCAUUUUCGACGCUGACUCAGGUCUUACCACGAUGCUUAUCCUUUACUUUCAGACGAUAAGUGAAGACAUUUGUCAAAGGCUACAGAAAGGUACUGUAAGUGAGAAGUACGCUCAGUGUUUGUGCUUGGUCAAAGCCGUGGAGACUGCAUUUUGGCUCUGUCUGCUUGAAGUGUUUUUCUGUAAAACAUAGUGAUUAAAAUAGAGUAUGUUUUAUGAUGGCAUUUGGAAUCAAUUUUUUUUCCCUUUUACCUCAUUGCCAGCUGAGGAAUGAGACAUGCACCCCUCCUCAGUGCCAGUUCAGCGCGCCUCUAUUCUCUUUUCUAACACCUCUGAAGGUGCUUGAAAAACAGGGGGAGGUCAUACAGGUUCUGCAGCUUCAGAAGUUUAUAUUAGAAAGCAUUUAAUGUGUAUUUAUUAAUCACACAAUGCGCUUCCUGCAUUACCCAGCUGAGCCGGGCUUUCUCGGCGCACAAUGGUGUUGUAUUUAUUGCGUAUCCUCCAGGGCAGAGAUUUAGUGUUUGGCCGGCAAACAGGAACAGAAUGUUUUCGUUGUCUAUGACUAAUGUGAUGACUAAGUGCAGGGCUCCAAAUGGAUCCCAGAUCUACUUGGGACAGCGUGGGGCAGGAUAUGAAGAAGAUAACAUCUGAAACCACUCUUAGCCCCAGUGAAAGGGGGACAAAACCAUCUCCACUGACCCACCUUAAAAAGGCCUUGGCUGCCAAUCAGAAAGCAUAUAAAAGCUCUUAUGGAGAGCUCUUAUGGGUCAUUUUUGAAGAAAUCCCAA